rnacentral:rRNA from 1 species
GACGAACGCUGGCGGCGUGCUUAACACAUGCAAGUCGAACGGAAAGGCCCUGCUUGCAGGGUACUCGAGUGGCGAACGGGUGAGUAACACGUGGGUGAUCUGCCCUGCACUUCGGGAUAAGCCUGGGAAACUGGGUCUAAUACCGGAUAGGAGCCAUUUUAAGUGUGAUGGUUGGAAAGUUUUUUCGGUGUAGGAGGAGCUCGCGGCCUAUCAGCUUGUUGGUGGGGUAAUGGCCUACCAAGGCGGCGACGGGUAGCCGGCCUGAGAGGGUGGACGGCCACAUUGGGACUGAGAUACGGCCCAGCCUCCUACGGGAGGCAGCAGUGGGGAAUAUUGCACAAUGGGCGCAAGCCUGAUGCAGCGACGCCGCGUGGGGGAUGACGGCCUUCGGGUUGUAAACUCCUUUCGCUAGGGACGAAGCUUUUUGUGACGGUACCUAGAGAAGAAGCACCGGCUAACUACGUG